ACAGAGCUGGAGAGGAAGGAAAGCCCGUUAGCCUGGCGCUGCUCUCACUCCCGUCCAUGGACCUGGGAACACUGCAGGUCCCCACCCCAUGCUCUGAGACACAGACAAAGUGAGAACAGACAAGGGCGAUCCGGUCUGGGCCCUGCCCUGACUGCGGAGGAGGGAAAGGGUGCAGGCCCCCAGCACACAGAAAAGCCUCAAGUCAUCAGGCUGUAUCAGGACCUUUGUCACCAGGGACCCGUCCACAACACGCGCAGCAGGGCCCAGAACAUGCCUGGAUUACUAGAUAAAUAUUUGCUGGAGGAAUGAAUAAAUGAAUGAAUGAUGGGGAUGGACAGAGGGGCCUGAGCAGGCCAUAGCCGGGGAACAGGACCAGACCCAGACAUGCAAACCCUCCUGAAAAAGCAGCCUCCUGUUCACCCCGUCUUCCCCACUCCUGGAACCCCCAGUGCCCUCGGGGGUUCCAGGUUGCUCCCACCUCUGCUGCCCUAUUUUAAUCCCCACUGCCUCAUGUGUCUGCAGAGCCCCACAAGGCACCUGGGCUCCUGGCAUCGGAUGUCACUGGUAGCCCCCAACCUGGCCCCUGGCCCCCCUGACACCCUCAUCCACUUUUUGCUUACAGGAGAUUUUCAAAUGCUAGGACUCAGUGCUCCCUAAUGUUUCUAUGAGCCAAGGCCAUGCCCAACAUUUAAUGGCAUUUAAUAAAUUAGUGGAUGUGGAGAAUUUUUAAAAAAGAAAAAAACCAAAACAGCUUUAAUUUCACAGCCUGACAUGCUGGCUAGUGAUGAACCUGCCUGGCUCUGGAAGAAGCCGACCUGCCAAGAACUUCAUCGUGGGGAGCAGAGACAAUACAUCAGUGCCAGGAGCGCAGCCGCUGCUUUGUAUUUCAGACACCCCUUGCCUCCAAGGGCCCCCGAAGCUCAUUCAUUCUCACAGCCAUAAAAGAAGAGGCAGGAGGGGCAGGGGAGGCGAGAGAGGAGAUGAUGCCUCCAAUUCUGCAUGGAGAGAAAUGAAGGGACAAAGUCACAGACACAUCUUUGCCAAAGUCACCCAGCAGGCAGGAGGACCACAGCUCGGUGGAACCAUGGAGUGGGAUGCAGCCACAAGGGGUCUCCCAGGGUCUGAACGCUCACCAUCCCACAAUGCACUCCAUUCUUUUUUUUUUUUUUUUUUUUUUUGCAUACCUCUAAUCAGUAAAGAAUUCUUUCUUAUUAAUGCAACAAUCUACUUCCCUUUGGCUAACACGCAUCAACCCUAGUUUUGCCCAAGAAGCCCACUAAGAACAAGUAAAACAGGCCUGUCUCAAACCGAAAGUUAGGCUCCAGCUAUGGUAGAACCAGCUCUUCCCCUCCCACGUUCUGAGCUCUAUACUUCUAGUAAUUCAGCCUAAGACCCCAUUGGCUUGAGUGGCAGCCAUAUCACAGUUUCGUCUCACACUGAGCUUGUGCAUAACUUCAAGCCAGAUGGCACGAUUCCUUGGUCAUUACUGUUGGACCCCACACUUUCUCUCAAAGCCUCCAAUUCACCUUCACACCUUCACUUUGCAGCCCCUAAUCUCACCAACUUACAUAGGUGUCAGGGAGAUGACACCAUAUUUUUGUGCCUAAUUUUCCUCCAAAUAAACAUUCAUUUGCAUAUCUACAACCCAGUUACAUUCUGAUUAUACCAGAAUGGGGUUAUUCUCCAUGUGAGACAGUUCUAAGAGAGAAUGAGUACCCAUGGCCAAACUUAAGGGGCAUCGUGUUUGGGCGCUGCAAGCCUCUGCGGUUAUAAAGCUCCUGAACUGUGUUUCAAGAGUGUCAAUACUCUCCAGCCAACUUUAUAACCCUUCCCCAAUUGACCAAAACCCCUAGCAGUUGAGAGUGAGUCCUGUUACAAUACCUACACCUCUUGCAAUCUAAAACCCCGAAGUGUACAUUGGGGUGGAAGAGUCCAUGAUGAAGGAGAUUCUACCUGAGACUUUGGGGACACCCCGCUACUCCCCUCCAGGGGUGUCAGGGCCCUGCGUGGUGGGAUAAAUGCCCGGUCACCAGCAGUCCUGGCUCCCAGUUGCACAAAGGGCUUGGUGUCCUCUGGCCCCUGGCUGGGGGC